GUGGCUGGAGAGAUGGCUCAGAGGUUAAGAGUACUGACUGCUCUUCCAGAGGUCCUGAGUUCAACUCCCAGCAACCACA
rnacentral:tRNA from 1 species